AAAGAAGGACAGAUGAUCGCCGGUUCGCUUUCGGGCGGACGGGAGGAAAGUCCGGGCUCCGCAGGACAGGAUGGUCCCUAACGGGGACCGGGGGUGACCCCAGGGAAAGUGCCACAGAGAGGAGACCGCCUGCUGCCGCGCAGCAGGUAAGGGUGAAAGGGUGAGGUAAGAGCUCACCAGUUCCGGCGGUGACGUCGGAAGCUCGGUAAACCCCAUCCGGAGCAAGGCCGAAUAGGGAAAC
rnacentral:RNase_P_RNA from 1 species